GAUGAACGCUGGCGGCGUGCCUAACACAUGCAAGUCGAGCGCGUCUUAUCGGUGCUUGCACUGAGAAAGAUGAGCGGCGGACGGGUGAGUAACGCGUGGGUAACCUGCCCUAUACACAUGGAUAACAUACUGAAAAGUUUACUAAUACAUGAUAAUAUAUAUUUGCGGCAUCGUAGAUAUAUCAAAGUGUUAGCGGUAUAGGAUGGACCCGCGUCUGAUUAGCUAGUUGGUGGGGUAAAAGCCUACCAAGGCGACGAUCAGUAGCCGACCUGAGAGGGUGAUCGGCCACAUUGGAACUGAGACACGGUCCAA
rnacentral:rRNA from 1 species